rnacentral:rRNA from 1 species
CGGGUGAGUAACACGUGACCAAUCUACCUUUGAGUGGGGGAUAACUCCGGGAAACCGGAGCUAAUACCGCAUAACAUCUUUGGAACGCAAGUUCCGUUGAUCAAAGCAGCAAUGCGCUUGAAGAGGAGGUCGCGGCUGAUUAGCUAGUUGGCGGGGUAAUGGCCCACCAAGGCGAAGAUCGGUAUCCGGCCUGAGAGGGCGCACGGACACACUGGAACUGAAACACGGUCCAGACUCCUACGGGAGGCAGCAGUGGGGAAUUUUGCGCAAUGGGGGAAACCCUGACGCAGCAACGCCGCGUGGAGGAUGAAGUCCCUUGGGACGUAAACUCCUUUCGACCCGGACGAUAAUGACGGUACGGGUGGAAGAAGCACCGGCUAACUUCGUGCCAGCAGCCGCGGUAAUACGAGGGGUGCGAGCGUUGUUCGGAAUUAUUGGGCGUAAAGGGCGCGUAGGCGGUCGGGUAAGUCACCUGUGAAAUCUCCUGGCUCAACUGGGAGCUUGCAGGCGAAACUGCCUGGCUGGAGUGUGGGAGAGGUGCGUGGAAUUCCCGGUGUAGCGGUGAAAUGCGUAGAUAUCGGGAGGAAC